CUCUGUAUUCUUCCACAGCUUUCUUGAACUGCAACCUUCUUCAGAUUAGCUCUAUUCUCACAUAUAUAUAUAUAUAUUACCAUAGCAUAGUUAUGUUAAUUUAAAUUGCAUCUGUUCGACUGAUUUGCGGUUCAAUAAAGCUGUGGGAAGAUACAGACA
rnacentral:pre_miRNA from 2 species